rnacentral:rRNA from 1 species
UACGUAGGGUGCAAGCGUUGUCCGGAAUUAUUGGGCGUAAAGAGCUCGUAGGCGGUCUGUCGCGUCGGCUGUGAAAACCCGGAGCUCAACUCCGGGCCUGCAGUCGAUACGGGCAGACUUGAGUUCGGCAGGGGAGACUGGAAUUCCUGGUGUAGCGGUGAAAUGCGCAGAUAUCAGGAGGAACACCGGUGGCGAAGGCGGGUCUCUGGGCCGAUACUGACGCUGAGGAGCGAAAGCGUGGGGAGCGAACAGG